CCAAGUGGGGACCCUCUGGGUUACACCCUCCCAACCCUCCUUUCCUUCAAAACGUUCAUUAUGGUUGUAAACAAAGAAUUGUGUGGGAUCAUUCAAAAAAAGUGAUUUCUUUCUCCCACUUGAUCGCAGGAGAACCAGGCCCCGGUGUUUUUGUACGUUAUGCCCGUGUGGCGCCCAGCAAAGCGCACGGCACAGAAAAGGAACGCGGUGAACGGUGUUCGGCUGGCUCCACCCGAGAAGGAAUGGAUUGGCUCGUUUUCAACGAACUCCGUUCUGUAUUUCUCCAGCGCGACCAGAGCAGGACGCCACAGUGAUUCAUUCAGGCUGUGAGACUCUCGGCGCGUCCACCGACGACGGGCAGUUGACCUCCCCAAGAGGCCAGAAGCCUGGGUGCGCCCAGACAGCGGAGCUCUAGCCGCCAGGCCGGGCCGGGCACUGGGCAGAGGAGGCUCCUCGGUGCCACCGAGGAAGCGGACGGCUCUGCGACAGCCACGGGUUGGUCCUCAAGUGCUGCCACCGCUUGCCAGUCCCCACCCCUGCCUUCCUUCCCCGAAGAUGAGUGACGGCCCCUUUGUGAGCCGGGGCCUGCUUGUCUACCCCAACGGCCAGCACAGGAGAGCUCCAGCUACACAUGAUUUACCACAACAGCGCCAUUUGUUUUAAUCUUUGGGGGAAAACGGGAUAUGAUGAGACAUAAAGAAACAUUAUUUCCCGAAGGUGGAUUCCAUUUCUUUGACCAUUUAUAAGUCUCAACAAAUAAAUUAUGACUAUUUGGGGAUUGAUAUUGUGUUUCAAUGACUUUCCCAGCUGUUGCUCUGUUGCAUACAUUCUGGAGCAUUCCUGCAUCCACUUGAAAGCCUGCGGCUGCCACACGGCACUGGCGAUACAGCCGGCGAGCAGUUGGCCGCUUCGGCGUGCGGCCUGGACGUGGCGACACCUUCACGAGGCCCGCGAGGGUCAGGGCUCGCCGGAAGGGGGUGAGGAAGACCAGCCGCGUUUGUGGGUGCUUGCGAUGGACGGCGUUUGGCUUUGGCGAGCCCCCGAAAGGCUAGGCGGUGGGGCGACUCUGGCCUCGAUGCCAACCUCGACAGCGGUCGAUGGGUGCCGUCCCUUCUGAGGAGGGCUGUGCUCAUUCAGCGCAGAGGGGACACCUUUCUGAUUUCCUCAAAGCUGCAUCUGGGGUCCGGGGCUCCUGUCCUGGGCCAGGGUGACCGGGAGAGUCCGAGCAAGCCCCGGGGGGAACCAUGGCAAGCCCUGUGGUGCUUUGUGUGUGCCAGCCCCGGGGAAGGCGUGGAAAGAAGGUUAAAUGACACGCUGGCUCUUCAUGAAACCAUGCCAAAGGGUGUAGUCAUUGAUUGGAUGAGGUUUGUGCUUCUCGACCACAUCGGAAUGCCAUUUAGCAUUUCUGCGACCCUAACUCAAAGGUUGUACACUUUCUGCUCUCAGUUGCGUUGGAAACGGAAAAGCUCCUGGAUUUAUGAGUUUUGCAUGGAAGUAGUCAUGUCCCCAUACUUAGUCCCUUUUACUUAGCUGUGUCUCUUCCCGUGUCCUCCAUGCCUCCACACGUCACAGCUUCUUUCUCCUCCUUCCUGUGCAUUUCCUUUCCCUGCAGAGCCUCAGACGGGAUCCCUGCCCUCCGUCAACCCCACGGACGGGGGCUGCUCUUGGGUACGUUGAGUGGACACUUGAAGGCCCAGACCCUGCUUUACAAACGGAGGACUGUGAUGUACACAGGCGGGCACGCUCGCGACCCUGCGUCUCAUUUUCACAGAACACGACGCAUUCCUUGGUUUUGAAUGGGGGCCCGACCCAUGGCCUUGACCUUCAGGAUCGUGAACUGUGACAGAGGAAGAAAAUUCCUUUGUGAAUGGACUGUGGGGCUUCUGAGCAGAUGCAGCAAACAGCUGACCGGGACGUUCCAGCCUGAAGCAGGUGGCAGGAUCCUCCAAAUAGCAGCAAAUCCCCGUGUCAGCAGGCACGGCGAGAGCGGGGGACUGCGGCAGGCCUGUGCCGGGAAGGCCCAAGUCUGUGCCUGGAAGUCACUGCCUGGGGGGAGGCCCGCCAGACAGCGAGGCAGAUGAGUCAGCCUUGAAAACGAUCCCGGUCGUGACCUGGUGGGAUUGGAGAGAACAGAAGGGACGGUCAGAAACCAACAGGUGGGCCGGCCCACAGGAAGGGGUCGCAGACUCACAGCAGGUGGCUGAGCAGUUGGAGGAGAAAUAUGGACACGGGCAGGAAAUGGCUUGGGAAGUCUGGAACUGCAGCCGCUUUUAAGCCGACAGGUUAGGACUUCUUUCUCUUCGUGUGGGUUUCGACCUUCCAGAGGGAACGGAACAGGGCCAGAGUCUUCCAAAGAAUCAGAGCAAGGCAGCACCGUGAAGGGUAAAGGGAACAGACAGAGCACGUGAGUGAGAGGAGGUGGCACACAGACCUAGGGGGCCGAUGGGCGGGGUGGAGGCAGGUGGGGGCCGGAAGGCCCGCAGGUGGCCCAGCUCUGCACGGGCACACUGUUGGAGCGGGUCACUAACAUGCCUCCAGUCUGGCUCCCAAAUCCCGGGGACAGGCUGGCUUCACACGGAAGGAGUCACUCGGGGAAAGCGGGGCGCCUCCUGAAGCAAGUGGGGGUGCUGUUCUCAACAAGCCGUAGUUAGCGUUGGGCUUUGGAGCCACACAGACCUGAGCGAGCCGUCCUCCGUUUCCACAACCAGGCGGAUGCCCUAACAGUAGGGGGAAGAGUCCAUCUAAAAACGAAUCCCAGGAUUGGGACAGUGUUUAUCACCGGCCUGUGCUUCCUCCUUCGUGUUCCUAGUCCCUCUUUCCCCCUUUGAGGCCCAAGAAGGGAUGGUAUUGAGAAGCACUUUCCAGAUGCAGAACCUCAACUCACAGAUGAUGAGUGUCCCCCGUCCGGAGUGCGGGGACACGCCUCAUCGGUCUCUGAGGCCAGGGCUGCCGCUCUUUCCUGUGCCCGGCGGUCACCUGUCCAGCUCAGGGCAGUGGCCUUCGGGGGUUCCCAGCCCCUCCACGUGCCCGGCCAGAGCAUCACGCAAAGGUACUCUCAGAAGAAGCAACCAUGGCGUGAGGAUGUUAAGAGAGCCGGUCCUGGCGGCGAGGGAGGAGAAAAGGGGUCGUAGAAAGCGGGAUGAUGGAAAGUUCGAAAGAGAACUCAAAGGGAAAGAUUCGGGGAAAAGGUGGCAGAUAUUCGAAGGGAUACCUGAACACCUGCUCUAGGAGAUGCAGGGCGCAGAUGAUGGGAGGACCUAAUGCCCACCCGUGGCACCGAUGUCAGCUCAACCCUGAUGACGUCACCCGCCUGAGGUGCUUGCACAAAAUGCCACGAUCUUAGUACUCAGCUGAGAGGGGCCCAAUGAAUGGAGAAGCACUGGCAGACCAAGUUCAGAAGUCUGGAUCCACUUUAUUGAUCAAGGAAUUUAAACCCAGUACAUCCGGAUUUUCUGCUCACCUGCGUUAAAGGGCUUCCAUCAGACUCAGUACGAAGAGAAGCUCAGAGAAGCUGGUACAGCCCUGUUUUCAGAAACAAGAAAACAACAAAGUAGAGUAAGGCCAGCAUCCCACAAGCACGGUGUGGCGAUACUUAGGAGUAAAUGCCAAACUCGAGACCUGCACAUUGGCUUUGUAUUUGAACUUCAGAUUGGAGCCCGAGGUUAGGCCUUCUCAGCCUCUUCCUACAGCUGGUCAAGCUUCAUUUACAGCACACCUGACGACUAGACCCGCUGAUACACGGCAAAGAGCUGUACCUGUUCCCACAAGCUGGACAGGGCGGUGACAUCCAGAUAAAGGACCGGUGUCCUGAGGGAAGGCAUUUUGUCCUCACUGAUCACAGACCGACUGGGCUGGAAACUGGUCUCCUGUUGGCUCUUCGGCAAUUAUGACAAAGUGAUUUCCCAGGUCAGUCUUGGUUUCAGCAACGGUACAAAUAAAUGGGUCUGGAAGAACCGGAAUUUGAUAAUAACUGAAAACAAGUAAAGAGCAGUGAACGCAGUUUUUGAUCCUUCCUAGAUUUCCUUCCAUCAGCUGCCCACAUUUACUCUUUAAACAGGCUUAUACAGCUCAUGCUAUUCAAUAAUUUUA